ACACAGGCGGAGGGGGUGAGGCGGCCGGGGCGGAGUUCUGCCGCCGGGAUCCCUCCGCGGGGCUCAGCCGUUUCCGGAGUCUGCGCUGCGCCCGGUUCCGCCAUUGCGGCUCUCGCGGACCCUGGAGCCUCCGCCCCCGACCCGAGCUCUCGUCUCUGUCUGCCAGUUUCCUGCGUCCCCGGAGAGUGAUCUCGCCGAGCCCGGCCUUCCCCCUCCCCUUCCUCCUCCUCUCCCUCGGAGAGUCCGGGCAGCCACUGCCCCGCAGCCCCAGUGACAGGAGGAGACCGUACCCCCGACAGCGCCAUGGCCCAGAUUCUGCCAAUUCGUUUUCAGGAGCAUCUCCAGCUCCAGAACCUGGGUAUAAACCCAGCAAACAUUGGCUUUAGUACCCUGACUAUGGAGUCAGACAAAUUCAUCUGCAUUAGAGAGAAAGUAGGAGAGCAAGCUCAAGUGGUAAUCAUUGACAUGAAUGACCCAAGUAAUCCAAUUCGAAGACCAAUUUCAGCAGACAGCGCCAUCAUGAAUCCAGCUAGCAAAGUAAUUGCAUUGAAAGAUGCUGGGAAAACUCUUCAGAUAUUUAACAUUGAAAUGAAAAGUAAAAUGAAGGCCCAUACCAUGACUGAUGAUGUCACCUUCUGGAAAUGGAUCUCUUUGAAUACGGUUGCUCUUGUUACGGAUAAUGCAGUUUACCAUUGGAGUAUGGAAGGAGAGUCUCAGCCAGUGAAAAUGUUUGAUCGCCAUUCUAGCCUUGCAGGUUGCCAGAUUAUCAAUUAUCGUACAGAUGCAAAGCAAAAGUGGUUACUUCUGACUGGCAUAUCUGCCCAGCAAAAUCGUGUGGUGGGAGCUAUGCAGUUGUAUUCCGUAGAUAGGAAAGUGUCUCAGCCCAUUGAAGGACAUGCAGCUAGCUUCGCACAAUUUAAGAUGGAAGGAAAUGCAGAAGAAUCAACGUUAUUUUGUUUCGCAGUACGGGGUCAAGCUGGAGGGAAGUUACAUAUCAUUGAAGUUGGCACCCCACCUACAGGGAACCAGCCCUUUCCAAAGAAGGCUGUGGAUGUUUUCUUUCCUCCGGAAGCACAAAAUGACUUUCCUGUUGCAAUGCAGAUCAGUGAAAAGCAUGAUGUAGUAUUCUUGAUUACUAAGUAUGGUUAUAUCCACCUGUAUGACCUUGAGACUGGUACCUGCAUCUACAUGAACAGAAUCAGUGGAGAAACAAUCUUUGUUACUGCACCUCAUGAAGCCACAGCUGGGAUAAUUGGAGUAAACAGAAAGGGACAAGUUCUGUCAGUAUGUGUGGAAGAAGAAAACAUAAUUCCUUAUAUCACCAAUGUCCUACAAAAUCCUGAUUUGGCUCUGAGAAUGGCUGUACGUAACAACUUAGCUGGUGCUGAAGAACUCUUUGCCCGGAAAUUUAAUGCUCUUUUUGCCCAAGGAAAUUACUCAGAGGCAGCAAAGGUGGCUGCUAAUGCACCCAAGGGAAUCCUCCGAACCCCAGACACCAUCCGUCGAUUCCAGAGUGUCCCAGCCCAGCCAGGACAAACUUCUCCUCUACUUCAAUAUUUUGGCAUACUUUUGGACCAAGGCCAGCUAAACAAAUAUGAAUCCUUAGAAUUGUGUAGGCCUGUACUUCAGCAAGGACGGAAACAGCUUUUGGAGAAAUGGUUAAAAGAAGAUAAGCUGGAAUGUUCUGAAGAACUAGGUGACCUUGUGAAAUCUGUGGACCCUACUUUGGCACUUAGUGUGUACCUAAGGGCUAAUGUCCCAAAUAAAGUCAUUCAGUGCUUUGCAGAAACUGGUCAAGUUCAGAAGAUUGUUUUGUAUGCUAAAAAAGUUGGAUACACUCCAGAUUGGAUCUUUCUGCUGAGAAAUGUCAUGCGUAUCAGUCCAGAUCAGGGACAGCAGUUUGCUCAAAUGUUAGUUCAGGAUGAAGAACCUCUUGCUGAUAUCACACAGAUUGUGGAUGUCUUUAUGGAAUACAAUCUAAUUCAGCAGUGUACUGCAUUCUUGCUUGAUGCCCUGAAGAAUAAUCGCCCAUCUGAAGGUCCUUUACAGACUAGGUUGCUUGAGAUGAACCUUAUGCAUGCACCUCAGGUUGCAGAUGCUAUCCUAGGGAAUCAGAUGUUCACGCAUUAUGACCGGGCUCAUAUUGCUCAGCUGUGUGAAAAGGCUGGCCUACUGCAACGUGCAUUGGAACACUUCACUGAUUUAUAUGAUAUUAAGCGUGCAGUUGUUCACACCCAUCUUCUUAACCCUGAGUGGCUAGUGAAUUAUUUUGGAUCCUUAUCAGUAGAAGACUCCCUAGAAUGCCUCAGAGCCAUGCUGUCUGCCAAUAUUCGCCAAAAUCUGCAGAUCUGUGUUCAAGUGGCUUCUAAGUAUCAUGAACAACUGUCAACUCAGUCUCUGAUUGAACUGUUUGAAUCUUUCAAAAGUUUUGAAGGUCUCUUUUAUUUUCUGGGAUCCAUUGUUAACUUUAGUCAGGACCCAGAUGUGCACUUUAAAUAUAUUCAGGCAGCUUGCAAGACUGGGCAGAUCAAAGAAGUAGAAAGAAUCUGCCGAGAAAGCAACUGCUAUGAUCCUGAGCGAGUCAAGAAUUUUCUCAAGGAAGCGAAGCUAACAGAUCAGUUACCACUCAUCAUUGUGUGUGAUCGAUUUGACUUUGUCCAUGAUUUGGUGCUGUACUUAUAUAGAAAUAAUCUUCAAAAGUAUAUAGAGAUAUAUGUACAGAAGGUGAAUCCAAGUCGACUUCCUGUGGUUAUUGGAGGAUUACUUGAUGUUGAUUGCUCUGAAGAUGUCAUUAAAAACUUAAUUCUUGUUGUAAGAGGUCAAUUUUCUACUGAUGAGCUUGUUGCUGAGGUUGAAAAAAGAAACAGGUUGAAACUGCUUCUGCCUUGGCUAGAGGCCAGGAUUCAUGAGGGCUGUGAGGAGCCUGCUACUCACAAUGCGUUAGCCAAAAUCUACAUAGACAGUAAUAACAACCCAGAGAGAUUUCUUCGUGAAAAUCCUUAUUAUGACAGUCGUGUUGUUGGAAAAUAUUGUGAGAAGAGAGAUCCACAUCUGGCCUGUGUGGCUUAUGAGCGUGGCCAGUGUGACCUGGAACUUAUUAAUGUUUGCAAUGAGAAUUCCCUCUUCAAAAGUCUUUCCCGCUAUCUGGUACGCCGGAAGGAUCCAGAAUUGUGGGGCAGUGUGCUGCUGGAAAGCAAUCCUUAUCGGAGACCUCUAAUUGACCAGGUUGUGCAGACAGCCUUGUCUGAGACUCAGGACCCUGAAGAAGUAUCAGUAACUGUCAAGGCUUUUAUGACUGCAGACCUUCCUAAUGAACUUAUUGAACUGCUGGAGAAAAUUGUUCUUGAUAACUCCGUAUUCAGUGAACACAGAAAUCUGCAAAAUCUCCUAAUCCUCACUGCAAUCAAGGCUGAUCGUACCCGUGUUAUGGAGUAUAUUAACCGCCUGGAUAAUUAUGAUGCUCCAGAUAUUGCCAAUAUCGCCAUCAGCAAUGAGCUCUUUGAAGAAGCAUUUGCCAUUUUCCGGAAAUUUGAUGUCAAUACUUCAGCAGUGCAGGUUUUAAUUGAACAUAUUGGAAACUUGGAUCGGGCAUAUGAAUUUGCUGAACGCUGCAAUGAACCUGCGGUCUGGAGUCAGCUUGCAAAAGCCCAGUUGCAGAAAGGAAUGGUGAAAGAAGCCAUUGACUCUUACAUCAAAGCAGAUGAUCCUUCAUCUUACAUGGAAGUUGUUCAGGCUGCCAACACUAGUGGAAACUGGGAAGAACUGGUCAAGUACUUGCAGAUGGCCCGUAAGAAGGCUCGUGAGUCCUAUGUGGAGACAGAACUGAUAUUCGCACUGGCUAAAACAAACCGCCUUGCAGAGUUAGAAGAGUUCAUCAAUGGGCCAAAUAAUGCUCAUAUCCAGCAAGUUGGUGAUCGUUGUUAUGAUGAAAAAAUGUAUGAUGCUGCUAAGUUGUUGUACAAUAAUGUUUCCAAUUUUGGACGCUUGGCAUCUACCCUGGUUCACCUGGGUGAAUAUCAGGCAGCUGUUGAUGGAGCUAGGAAAGCAAACAGUACCCGAACAUGGAAAGAGGUCUGUUUUGCCUGUGUAGAUGGGAAAGAAUUCCGUCUUGCUCAGAUGUGUGGGCUUCAUAUUGUAGUACAUGCAGAUGAAUUAGAGGAACUUAUUAACUACUAUCAGGAUCGUGGAUAUUUUGAAGAACUGAUAACAAUGUUGGAAGCAGCUCUGGGACUUGAGCGAGCUCACAUGGGGAUGUUCACUGAAUUAGCCAUUCUGUAUUCUAAAUUUAAGCCACAGAAAAUGAGGGAGCACUUGGAGCUGUUCUGGUCCAGAGUGAAUAUACCUAAGGUGCUAAGAGCUGCAGAACAAGCUCAUCUUUGGGCAGAAUUGGUGUUUUUGUAUGACAAGUAUGAAGAAUAUGAUAAUGCCAUAAUUACCAUGAUGAAUCAUCCCACUGAUGCAUGGAAAGAAGGGCAGUUCAAAGAUAUCAUUACCAAGGUUGCCAAUGUGGAAUUAUACUACAGAGCAAUACAGUUCUACUUAGAAUUCAAGCCUCUGUUGUUAAAUGAUUUGCUGAUGGUGCUGUCUCCACGGUUGGAUCAUACUCGUGCAGUCAAUUAUUUCAGCAAGGUUAAACAGCUACCCCUGGUGAAACCAUAUUUGCGUUCAGUUCAGAACCACAACAAUAAAUCUGUGAAUGAAUCACUGAACAACCUCUUUAUUACAGAAGAAGAUUAUCAGGCUCUGCGAACAUCAAUAGACGCUUACGACAACUUUGACAAUAUCUCACUUGCUCAGCGUUUGGAAAAACAUGAACUCAUUGAGUUCAGAAGAAUUGCUGCUUAUCUCUUCAAAGGCAACAAUCGCUGGAAGCAGAGUGUAGAGCUGUGCAAGAAAGAUAGCCUGUACAAGGAUGCAAUGCAGUAUGCCUCUGAAUCUAAAGAUACUGAGUUGGCUGAAGAACUCCUACAGUGGUUUUUGCAGGAAGAAAAAAGAGAGUGCUUUGGAGCUUGUCUCUUUACCUGUUAUGAUCUUUUAAGGCCAGAUGUUGUCCUGGAAACCGCCUGGAGGCACAAUAUCAUGGAUUUUGCCAUGCCCUAUUUCAUCCAGGUCAUGAAGGAAUAUUUGACAAAGGUUGAUGCAAUAAAGGAAAAGGUGGAUAAAUUAGAUGCUUCAGAAUCACUGAGAAAAGAAGAAGAACAAGCUACAGAGACGCAACCUAUUGUUUAUGCCCAAGAUAACUGUGUAACUGUGCCAAGUACAUGAGAGAAGAACAUGGGAACAGAUUUCCACCUCAAGAACACUUAAAUUGGGGGAAGAAACUCAGCUUUUAUUGUUAGACUUUGACAGUUUCAAACACUUGUGAUAAAAUUUCAAGAAUACAGAUGAAGCAAUUUAAGUCAUUAUGAAUCUCUAUGUAAGAAGUAUCUCUUGUUCUUGGCUACAACAAAGCUCUGUUCCUCACUCUAUUUUACCAAGAUGCCCAAAGGGUCUAAACUAAAGAAACAAAGAAGAACUCCCCACACCCCUUUUCUGGAAUACAGUGCUUUUGAAUAGUGUCUUCAUAAUGCAAUGUGGGAUGGUACCAGCCCCUCAGACAAGUUCUUGGUUGUCUAUGUAAUGGGUGUGGAGUGAGGUGCCUUGCUAACAUUUACUAGACCUGAGCAUAGAAUGCUAUAUGUCUUACAAGUGAAGAUUUGUCCCACUGGAUAUUACUACAAGUGCAAAACUUAAUACACAAGAUGACCCAAUUUCAUUUUACAUAAAAAAUAUUGUUUGCAUUUAAUAUACAGUGAAUUUACCAGAGUGCAUUACAUAAAAACAAAGGGAGAUUGUCCUUUAUCCUUUUUUAUCUUAAAAAUUAAUUCUUGUUACCCUAUAAAGCAGUUCAUGGUAUUUGAGUCACCAAUAAAACAUACUAGUCUACAUUUGAGGUUAUUGGAUUCAUAUGAUUCUGUGGCACAAAUCCUAGAAAUACAUAUUUUAUCAUAAAUUUUCUUUUUAUUCUCACGUUAAAAUUAAGACAUUGAUGCUUCAAAAGUUUAUAUGGUAAAUUACAUACAGUUUUAUCAAAUAUUUUAAUAUAAGGAUAGUGCAGGGAAGGGGAUGUUAAACUUUAUAUAAUUCAUAUACUACAAAAUUAACUUUUAACAUGUACAAUUCUUUGAAAGUAAAAGAUACUGAAAAUCAGUUUUAAAUUGUACGUUUACAUUUCCUUUGACCAAAAGACAUCCUGGUCAGAGAUGACUAGCAAAUAAAAAAGAUAGAGGUAUCUCCC